rnacentral:tRNA from 12 species
GCGGAUGUGGCCAAGUGGAUCAAGGCAGU